CGAAAUUCGUUCCGGGGUCGCGCCCUCUGCGGCCGCCGCUCGCGUCCGUGCUCGAUAUAAGGGCUUGUCCUGCGGUAGCCAGGCAGUCGAGACUGACAUCUGCUGUGAGAAGUUUCAGUGUUCUGAAAGAACCCCCCAUCUGUCACCAUGUCAUACACCGGACGCACUAGGGACGCACGCUUCAACGUGUCGAAUGUGUGCAAGGACAAGGCUGAGAUGAAGGCCGAGGAACUGUGUGAUGAGAAGAAGGACCAGGAAGUCCAAGACGCAAAUGACGGUGACACAACCUCCGUUGGCGUCGAGGGCAACGAGGGAGACACCGAAACCUCUUCACUGCAUUCGAGUAAUUAGGGUCUGACUGCACUCAACCACCGUCAAGAUAUUACGCUAUCAUUUCUUUCACCACGCUCAACCAGGGGCCAAAAGUAGAUUCGACUUCUCACUACACUCUCCUUUUACCAAGAAAUAACAAGAAUCCUUCUCUAACAUUCCUACUUACGCCAAGGUGUAUAAGUGAUCUUUCUUUCACUACACCCUACGUCGAAAACUAGAUUGGAUCUGUCACUUGCCACACUCAGAGCAGUGUAUAGUAUUAAUUAUCACGACAAAC